rnacentral:rRNA from 1 species
AGCGAACGCUGGCGGCAGGCUUAACACAUGCAAGUCGAACGCCCCGCAAGGGGAGUGGCAGACGGGUGAGUAACACGUGGGAACGUACCCUUUGGUUCGGAAUAACUUGGGGAAACUCAAGCUAAUACCGGAUAAGCCCUUAUGGGGAAAGGUUUACUGCCGAAGGAUCGGCCCGCGUCUGAUUAGCUAGUUGGUGAGGUAAUGGCUCACCAAGGCGACGAUCAGUAGCUGGUCUGAGAGGAUGAUCAGCCACACUGGGACUGAGACACGGCCCAGACUCCUACGGGAGGAAGCAGUGGGGAAUAUUGGAGAAUGGGGGCAACCCUGAUCCAGCCAUGCCGCGUGAGUGAUGAAGGCCUAGGGUUGUAAAGCUCUUUUACCCGGGACGAUAAUGACUGUACCGGGAGAAUAAGCCCCGGCUAACUUCGUGCCAGCCGCCGCAGUAA